rnacentral:rRNA from 1 species
GCUCAAGCAAUGGAGAGACGCAGGAAGGUAGCCUCCGCGUGACGAUGGUAGUCCACGUCCAAGGGUGUAGGGAGUGAGAUAAGCAAAUCCGUCUCACACAUAUCCUGAGACCUGAUAGUGACCGCGAAUGCGGGAAGCAGGGUGAUCCUAUGCUGCCAAGAAAAUCUUCUAGCGAGGUUCGAGCCGCCCGUACCCCAAACCGACUCAGGUGGUUAGGUAGAGAAUACCAAGGCGAUCGAGUGAAUCGUGGUUAAGGAAUUCGGCAAAAUGCCCCCGUAACUUCGGGAGAAGGGGGGCCCAGACUCUGAAGUCACUUGCUGACUAGGGGAAAGGGCCGCAGAGACCAGGGAGAAGCGACUGUUUACUAAAAACACAGGUCCGUGCGAAGUCGCAAGACGAUGUAUACGGACUGACGCCUGCCCGGUGCUGGAAGGUUAAGAGGACGGGUUAGAUCUUCGGGUCGAAGCUCAGAAUUUAAGCCCCAGUAAACGGCGGUGGUAACUAUAACCAUCCUAAGGUAGCGAAAUUCCUUGUCGGGUAAGUUCCGACCUGCACGAAUGGCGUAACGACUUCUCCACUGUCUCAACCGCGAACUCGGCGAAAUUGCACUACGAGUAAAGAUGCUCGUUACGCGCAGCAGGACGGAAAGACCCCGGGACCUUCACUAUAGCUUGGUAUUGGUGUUCGGGACGGCUUGUGUAGGAUAGGUGGGAGACUUUGAAGCCGGCACGCCAGUGUCGGUGGAGUCAACGUUGAAAUACCACUCUGGUCGUUCUGGAUGUCUAACCUCGGUCCGUGAUCCGGAUCAGGGACAGUGCCUGGUGGGUAGUUUAACUGGGGCGGUUGCCUCCUAAAAGGUAACGGAGGCGCUCAAAGGUUCCCUCAGCCUGGUUGGCAAUCAGGUGUCGAGUGUAAGUGCACAAGGGAGCUUGACUGCGUGAGAGACAUCUCGAGCAGGGACGAAAGUCGGAACUAGUGACCCGGCGGUGGCUUGUGGAAGCGCCGUCGCUCAACGGAUAAAAGGUACCCCGGGGAUAACAGGCUGAUCUUGCCCAAGAGUCCAUAUCGACGGCAUGGUUUGGCACCUCGAUGUCGGCUCGUCGCAUCCUGGGGGUGGAGUCGCUCCCAAGGGUUGGGCUGUUCGCCCAUUAAAGCGGUACGCGAGCUGGGUUUAGAACGUCGUGAGACAGUUCGGUCCCUAUCCGCUGUGCGCGUAGGAAACUUGAGAAAGGCUGACCCUACUACGAGAGGACCGGGUUGGACGAACCUCUGGUGUGUCAGUUGUUCUGCCAAGAGCACCGCUGAUUAGCUACGUUCGGAAGUGAUAACCGCUGAAAGCAUCUAAGCGGGAAGCACGUUUCAAGAUGAGGUUUCCAUGGGGCUUGCCCCGAGAGGCUCCCGGCUAGACUACCGGGUUGAUAGGCCAGACGUGGAAGUGCAGUAAUGCAUGUAGCUGACUGGUACUAAUAAGCCGAUAACUUGA